rnacentral:rRNA from 1 species
UACGAAGGGUGCAAGCGUUACUCGGAAUCACUGGGCGUAAAGCGUGCGUAGGCGGUUCGUUAAGUCUGCUGUGAAAGCCCUGGGCUCAACCUGGGAACUGCAGUGGAUACUGGCGGACUAGAGUGUGAUAGAGGAUGGUGGAAUUCCCGGUGUAGCGGUGAAAUGCGUAGAGAUCGGGAGGAACACCAGUGGCGAAGGCGGCCAUCUGGAUCAACACUGACGCUGAGCACGAAAGCGUGGGGAGCAAACAGGAUUAGAUGACC